GCGCUAUUGGAGCGGCCGAUGUCAGAUUAGGUUGUUGGUGGGGUAAAGGCUCACCAAGCCGACGAUCUGUAGCUGGUCUGAGAGGACGACCAGCCACACUGGGACUGAGACACGGCCCAG
rnacentral:rRNA from 1 species